UCUCUGGUGGUCCAGUGGUUAAGACUCUGCGCUCCCAAUGCAGAGGACACAGGCUAGACCCCUGGUCGAGGAA
rnacentral:tRNA from 1 species